rnacentral:rRNA from 1 species
AGGGUGCAGGGCGGAUGCCUUGGCACUAGGAGCCGAUGAAGGACGUGAUAAGCUGCGAUAAGCUUCGGGGAGUUGCACGUAAACUUUGAUCCGAAGAUUUCCGAAUGAGGAAACUCACUUAGAGUAAUGUCUAAGUAUCAUUAAGUGAAUACAUAGCUUAAUGAGGGGAACUCAGGGAACUGAAACAUCUAAGUACCUGAAGGAAGAGAAAGAAAUUCGAUUCCGUAAGUAGCGGCGAGCGAACGCGGAUUAGCCCAAACCAAUAAAGUUUUCUUUAUUGGGGUUGCGGACAUAUCAUAACGAAGAGGUAUCGUAAUUGAAGAGGUUUGGAAAGACCCACCACAGAAGGUAAUAGUCCUGUAUGUUAAACGAGAAGACUUCAGAUAUGAUCCAGAGUACCACGGGACACGUGAAACCCUGUGGGAAGCAGGAGGGACCACCCUCCAAGGCUAAAUACUACCUAGUGACCGAUAGCGUAUAGUACCGUGAGGGAAAGGUGAAAAGAACCCCGGGAGGGGAGUGAAAUAGAACCUGAAACCCUGCACUUACAAGCUGUGGAAGCACAUUUCUUGUGUGACCGCGUACUUUUUGUAGAACGGGCCAACGAGUUACGUUAAGUAGCAAGGUUAAGCACUUAAGGUGCGGAGCCGUAGCGAAAGCGAGUUUUAACUGAGCGUUCAGUUACUUGACGUAGACCCGAAACCGGGCGACCUACCCAUGAGCAGGAUGAAGCGAAAGUAAAAUUUCGUGGAGGUCCGAACCCACGAGCGUUGAAAAGCUCGGGGAUGACUUGUGGAUAGCGGUGAAAUUCCAAUCGAGCCCGGAGAUAGCUGGUUCUCCCCGAAAUAGCUUUAGGGCUAGCCUCAAGGUGAGAGAUACGGAGGUAGAGCACUGAAUGUCCUAGGGGGUAUUGCACCUACCGAAGACUAUCAAACUCCGAAUGCCGUCAUCUUAUACUUGGGAGUCAGACUGUGGGUGAUAAGAUUCAUAGUCGAAAGGGCAACAGCCCAGAUCGUCAGCUAAGGUCCCUAAAUGUAAGUUAAGUGGUAAAGGAUGUGGGAUUGCACAGACAACCAGGAUGUUGGCUUAGAAGCAGCCACUCAUUCAAAGAGUGCGUAAUAGCUCACUGGUCGAGUGAUCCUGCGCCGAAGAUUUCCGGGGCUAAAACUUACUACCGAAGCUACGGCAUCAGUAAUGAUGGGUAGGGGAGCUUCCCAUACGGGUUGAAGCNUGACCGUAAGGACAUGUGGACAGUAUGGGAGUGAGAAUGUUGGCAUGAGUAGCGAGAUGUGGGUGAGAAUCCCACAGGCCGUAAACCCAAGGUUUCCAGGGGAAGGUUCGUCCGCCCUGGGUUAGUCGGGACCUAAGCUGAGGCCGAAAGGCGUAGGUGAUGGACAACAGGUUGAUAUUCCUGUACUACCGAUAACCGUUUGAGAGAAGGGAUGACACAGUAGGAUAAGCUAAGCACACUGUUGGUUAUGUGUGCCCAAGCAUUGAGGCAGUCAAAGUAGGCAAAUCCGCUUUGAUAAUGCUGGGAUGUGAUGGGGAGCGAAAUUUAGUAGCGAAGUAGCUGAUUUCACACUGUCAAGAAAAGUCUCUAUCGAGGUUAAAGGUACCCGUACCGCAAACCGACACAGGUGGGUGAGGAGAGUAUCCUAAGGCCAGCGAGAGAACUGUUGUUAAGGAACUCGGCAAAAUGACCCCGUAACUUAGGGAUAAGGGGUGCCACCAUCAGGUGGCCGCAGAGAAUAGGCCCAAGCGACUGUUUACCAAAAACAUAGGUUUCUGCUAAGUCGCAAGACGAUGUAUAGGAGCUGACGCCUGCCCGGUGCUGGAAGGUUAAGGGGAUCUGUUAGAGCAAUCGAAGCAGUGAACUUAAGCCCCAGUAAACGGCGGCCGUAACUAUAACGGUCCUAAGGUAGCGAAAUUCCUUGUCGGGUAAGUUCCGACCCGCACGAAAGGCGUAACGAUUUGGGCACUGUCUCAACAACAGACUCGGUGAAAUUGUAAUUCCGGUGAAGAUGCCGGAUACCUGCGACAGGACGGAAAGACCCCAUGGAGCUUUACUGUAGCUUGACAUUGGGUCUUGGUACUACAUGUACAGGAUAGGUGGGAGGCUUUGAAACCAGGACGCCAGUUUUGGCGGAGCCAUCCUUGGGAUACCACCCUUGUAGUACUGGGACUCUAACCAUAGGCCAUGAAUCUGGUCUUGGGACACUGUCAGGUGGGCAGUUUGACUGGGGCGGUCGCCUCCCAAAAGGUAACGGAGGCGCUCAAAGGUUCUCUCAGUACGGUCGGAAAUCGUACGUAGAGUGUAAAGGCAAAAGAGAGCUUGAUUGCAAGACAUACAGGUCGAGCAAGGAUGAAAAUCGGACUUAGUGAUCCGGUGGUUCUGCGUGGAAGGGCCAUCGCUCAACGGAUAAAAGCUACCCUGGGGAUAACAGGCUUAUCUCCCCCAAGAGUCCACAUCGACGGGGAGGUUUGGCACCUCGAUGUCGGCUCAUCACAUCCUGGGGCUGUAGUAGGUCCCAAGGGUUGGGCUGUUCGCCCAUUAAAGUGGUACGCGAGCUGGGUUCAGAACGUCGUGAGACAGUUCGGUCCCUAUCCGUCGCAGGCGUAGGAAAUUUGAGAAGACCUGUCCUUAGUACGAGAGGACCGGGAUGGACGUACCUCUGGUGUACCAGUUGUUCUGCCAAGGGCAUGGCUGGGUAGCUAUGUACGGAAUGGAUAAGCGCUGAAAGCAUCUAAGCGCGAAGCCAACUUCAAGAUAAGAUUUCCCACCGCAAGGGUAAGACCCCAGAAAGACUAUCUGGUUGAUAGGUCGAAGGUGUAAGUGCAGCAAUGUAUUUAGCUUAUCGAUACUAAUAGGUCGAGGACUUGACC